rnacentral:snoRNA from 1 species
GGCCGAUGACGAGCCACGGUUCCGAACCGGACUCGGCACCCGGAUGGUGACGAACCCUAUGAGUACCGAGGCC